rnacentral:rRNA from 1 species
UACGGGGGGGGGCUAGCGUUGUUCGGAAUUACUGGGCGUAAAGGGCGCGCGAGGUCGUCUGAAGUUGGAUGUGAAAACUCUGGGCUUAACCCAGAGCCUGCAUUCAAUACUGACAGGCUAGAGUUCUGGAGGGAGUAGCGGAAUUCCUGGUGUAGCGGUGAAAUGCGUAGAUAUCAGGAGGAACACCUGUGGUGUAGACGGCUCUCUGGACCGCAACUGACGCUGAGACACGAAAGCGUGGGUAGCAAACAGG